UGGGCCCGAGACAUGACUGACAGUGCUUCGGGCUCGUGCCCGCCUUCGCUUAUCAGAGUCACACAGCGUGGGCCACUGCGGCGGAAUGAGGCAGGAGCAAGUGUCCCAAACCCCAGAGACCGGCGAGGUCAGGUGGAUCCCAAGUGGCAUGUGAGAAAAGCGUCCGCCUGUGCGUCUACCCCCUGUACCGCAGAUCUGCUCUGCCCCGCCCCUCGGUCCUGCCCCCCUAGCAACAUCUGGGGCCCCAGCUUCUUCUGAAAACAGAAGGUUCUCAGCUGUGCUCCGGCGGGAGGCCGCGAUGGGUCACAGAGUCUCCUUCCGACCUCUGGGGAAACUGAAGGCAAAAAGGUUGGUGAAAAAAGGCUUAAGGAAAGCAGUGAUGGCUGGUCCCGAGGCCCCAGUGGGGUGACCCAACGCUUCGAAGCCCCACGACUCUGCCUCCGCGUCCCCUCGUCCUCAAGCAGCAGCUUGGCUGAUCUGAGUUCCUUACCGGGUGGGGCGAUCCGGACCACCAUGCCCUAAGGGAUCGGCGCCCUUAGUUUGCCAUGUCUUUAUUGAGUUGCUUUGUGGCUGCCACUGCUCAUUCACAGAUCCUUUUCAUCAGGCCAAGGGCCACCAAGAUCCCCCCAGAGGGGUCCUGCCUUCAAUGGCGGCAGCACCUAAUCCGGGUCCUGCUUCUGGGCGAUGGGGACGCAAUAAACCGGGGGAUCCCAUGGCCCUGCGCUCACUGUCAUACCUCUUUUACCCCAGCCAUAUGAUGGGCCACUUGAUGGGAGCCACUGGCAUGUGGGAAACUGUGUAGGUCACCUUUCCUCGCGGCUCUGUCCACCGGGAGAAUGUCCUUCCACCGCUGUCCCCUCAAGCCACGUGGAUUGGGACCGUCGCCCAGCACAGUCUGUUUUCGACAGACGACGAGGCUUCAUGUUGACCGAUCUAUGAACCAGGCCUGAGUUGGCUCCUGAGUGAUCACGGAGGAUCCCUGCCCCGUGAAGUGCGUCGAGAGGAAUCAGUGCAACAGUCUGGACCACCCGUUUGUGUAAUUUACUCGUCCUCCUGGACGUGAUUGGCCUCGAUCCUGAACGUUCUAUCUUCCUCAUCAGUAAACUACCCAACCUGAGGACUUGGCGCAUGUGAUAACUCGCGGCUCGUGAUGGGCGGGUCUGGUCCCCCAGUGACUCAGUGUCCCAUGCCAAUUCCGGGUGGUGUCCAGAGCAAGAGUUCCCCGCCAUGAGAUUGAUGGCCUUUCCCUGGAACCUUGAGGGUACAUCCUGCAACUUUUCAGUGAGUGCUUGCCACGCACUUCCGCAGCCUUGUCUGCUGUGGAGACGUCUAGCAGAGGUCCUUCUGGGUCAGAUGGGUCCAGCGGUGGGCGGUUCCAACCACAGCCUGGACGUGCUCCGGAGCCCUGUCUCGAUCUCAGAAAGCCAGCUUGCUUUAGUCAUGUGCAACUUACGAGAUCUAAGAGGGUAGUAGCUUUGAUUUUUAUUAAUGUUUUAAUUAAUUGUUUGAAUAAACAAGGCAUUCAAAUAAUUCCAAAAUUAAAAUGUAAAAAAGGCAUAUAGUCAACAACCUCUCCCCUCCCCCUGAUUUUCUUUCUAGCGGAGACCAACUGUGUUUACUUGCUUGUGAAUUACUCUAGAGAUAAAUACAUGUGUGUGUGCGUGCGUGUGUGUGUGUGUGUGUGUGUGUGUAUCUUCCAACCUCCCACCAUUAUCUAAA